rnacentral:tRNA from 1 species
CAAAAUAUAAUUUAUAUAAAAUAUUAAUUUUGGAGAUUAAAAAAAUUUAUUUAUUAAAUUAUUUUGA